AUACUUAUUGGCAGGGGAGGUACCAGAUCACAAAGGUGGUUUUCCCUGGGCAAGGCUUACCAGUCAUUACACUCCAGAUGUGCUGACCCCUGCGAUUUCCCCAAAUGUGGGAAACUCAACCACAGAAUUUUUUGUAGGGGAGACUGUUUGCACUCUUCCUUA
ensembl:snRNA U1 U1 spliceosomal RNA